rnacentral:lncRNA from 1 species
UUGCUUGCUUUCAUUUUCCCGAGGGCUUGUAUGCUAAGUUGGCGACUUUAAUUUCUGGGACUUGUUGUGGAAACUUUUCUGUAGCAAAACACCUCGGCUAAUCCAAGCACGACUUAAUAGAAGUGCGCAACUGCAUGUAUAUAUAUUUAUGUUUUCUGUGGUAGCUUUGGUUGAUGACGUCUUUCAAGCUGAAAGUAGUUCUGGUGGAAGGUGGAAAAGAGGAACAAGUGCCGAGUCCUUCAUCCAUUGUAUCUGAUUGUUCUACAUUUGCGUUGCCUCUUCACUCCUGUUGAGGUGGUCCAUGUCAGAGACUAGCAUAUCCGGAAGAGAUCCGGAAAGGGUUCCAAGGCAGGGCUUCUAAAACUUCGAGUAGUUUAGUGAAUGAUAUAGAAGAAAUCUAGGAGUUGAAAACUUCAAUUGCCUUAUGUUUAUGUUGGGAUUGGGAGCUAGUCAUAAUUUCAUACAGGUGGGUCGCAGUUGCGAGGAAGAAGUUGCUGCGAUCGUGCUGCCCUCAUGACAUUUGUCUGGUGGCGAAACUGGACAUCAAAAACUGAAUAGAAGGCGAAGGCAGAACUCCUUCAUGCAUGCACACGCUGCUCUUGCACCUGCAUGGGCAUGCGAACGUUGGUUUCCACUUUGACAU